GGGGGUGUUAUGUUUGCGAUCUCUGCCUUGGUACCUAAGGAGGAAGAGGAGGAGGAGGGUGUGUUAUUGAAUGGUGGCUAAAGCCUCCUCGGGACGGCGCUGAGGUGAAACAGGCUGAACCCGACUGAUGUGGCUCCUCUCUCGGUUGGACCCAGUGCCCUAAGCAGCCGAGGAGAGACCCCCGGCCGCCCGGCUCGCAGGUUACACGCACGACGCGAACAGAAUGGGCCCGAUCCUGCCAGUCCCUUCUUGAGAAGUCUUCAUAAAUUAUUAAAUCACACCUGAUCCAGUUAAUAAUGAAGUUAACUACCAUCAGGUACGUUUUUAAUGCUGAAAUGGGCAUACUAAUUGUGAACUGUGUGGUAAGAAGCUCCUUCUAAAAUAUGCAGUAACUUAUUUACUGGAAUUUAACAGGCUGUGUACUUUAAAGCUUCUCUUGCCUGUAAUCACAUGAACAAACCUUGCAAGUCAUAUUGCCAGCUUGAGAUUCGGCACAGUAACAGCAGCGCUGAUGCAGCCCCUGCCGUUAGGCAAGGUACAGAAAGGAACUGGUGACCUGCGACGGGACAAGAGACCUCGCUUACCAGGAUUUGCUCACGGUUAUGCUUCUGGCAACUGACAUUUCCAUUUUACUCAAAGCUUCUACAUCUGUGUCAUCAGACAAAGCCCCAUGAGUGGUGGCAGAGCAAACUAUAGCCUUCAUUUUCAAGUUUGAAGAGAAAAAAUUAUUUACAUGUCUAAAUCCUGGAACCUGAUGUUCAGAGAUCAUUCUUUGUUACUUGCUGCUUUCAACCAUUAAGGUUUCCAAAAGCUCUAUAACAAAAUGGGACAUAGUUUGGGGUAGAAAACUCUUAUUGUUUUCAUUUUGUUUAGGUUUUUUUUAUCAUAUCAUCUGAUUUUUUUCCUACCAGAGGAACAUGGAAGUUGGGAUGUUUCUGUCAUUGCUUACAAUGAAUGACUGCUUAAAGGGACUGUCAGAGAUUGUAAGACAAAUCUUUGCCCCUCCUUAAGAUUGUUAUAAACUGAAGGAGAAUGUCUUUUAAUUUGUUAGGACUUCAGAGUUUAUUUUGUAAGGAGAAUUAUUGAUUCAUGCAAUGACUGCUCCUUUACUGUUUUAUCACACUUCCAACUCAGUAUUUUUGUAUUCUUUUGGUUAUGAAUUUAGGCAAAUGUUUAACUACGUGUUUUAAUGUUGCAGGGGUUUUUUGUUGUUGUUUUAGACAUGUUUUCCUGAAUCAGACCCUUGAAUUUAGUGACAAUUAGUACAAUUUCUGGAAAUGUAUUGUCAUCAGUAAGAGUGCUGUGUACCAAGACGUGUGAACGUAGAUGUUAGGGGGGAGCACAAGUAAUUACUUUUUUCCAUUCACAGAGGGAGCAUUAAGAAGUCAAGGUUAUUCAACAGAAGUGAAUAAAUGCAGCCUGAAAAGUUAUUUACUUUCCAAACUGCAAGAGGAUCUCAGAGACAAUAAGGAUAACAUAAAAACAAAAAUCUAAAGAAAUUCCUUAAUCUUCCUAAAAAAUAAUUGGAACUGAAAAAAAAAAAAAAAAGGAAAGCAUUUCAUAAUGAAGAGAAUCUUCAGGCAGGGAAAAAAAAGAGUUGUCUGACACAGUGUUUAGGGUAGAUUGAAGGAAUUGUUCCAGGGGCUGUUCUUUGCUGGUAUUGCAGAAGUGUGUGGGGCAUUUAAUCUGUUUUAGUUGCUCUAUCUGUAAAUAGAAGAUGAUAAUGCUCA